AGUGAACGCUGGCGGUAGGCCUAACACAUGCAAGUCGAACGGCAGCACAGUAAGAGCUUGCUCUUACGGGUGGCGAGUGGCGGGCGGGUGAGGAAUACAUCGGAAUCUACGGUUUCGUGGGGGAGAACGUAGGGACAAUUACGCUAAUACUGCAUACGACCUACGGGGGAAAGCAUGGGAUCUUCCGACCUUGCGCGAUUGAAUGAGCCGAUGUCGGAUUAGCUAGUUGGCGGGGUAAAGGCCCACCAAGGCGACGAUCCGUAGCUGGUCUGAGAGGAUGAUCAGCCACACUGGAACUGAGACACGGUCCAGACUCCUACGGGAGGCAGCAGUGGGGAAUAUUGGACAAAGGGCGCAAGCCUGAUCCAGCCAUACCGCGUGGGUGAAGAAGGCCUUCGGAUUGUAAAGCCCUUUUGUUGGGAAAGAAAAGCAGCAAGUUAAUACCCCGCUGUUCUGACGGUACCAAAAGAAUAAGCACCGGCUAACUUCGUG
rnacentral:rRNA from 1 species